UUUCGCAUCAAUGGUUCAGCAAACCCCUGUACUUUACUUAAUGUUGCAGAUUUAGUUUCCUUGAAAGGAAGGUGGUCCAAAUGAUGGCCAUCCAGAAAAUGGUGACGUUGCUGGCUAGAUACCUGCAAGUCAUGUGCCUCCACCACCACACCUAUCAUUCAAAGCCCCUUUAUAAAUAAAAAAAUGCUAUGCAAUGCAACCUUGUUUCAUAGAAAUAAAUGAAAGAGUGUGAAAAGUUGGUGGGUCAGCACUUGAAGAUAAGGAGUUAAAGGUGCAACAGAGAAACAAAUACUACUCAUUUAGUGUGUGUGUGUGUGUGUGUGAACUACUGAAGAGUACUCCUUGGAAACCAAAGUAUAAAGCAGCAGCAGCAUGGAAGCAAUGGAAGGUGGUAUAUCGAAUAGUACAGCUACAGGAACGACAGAGUCAGAGUUGGAAGCCUUGCAGAGAGAGCAUGAAGAGAAAAAUUUAAAAAUUCAAGAGCUCAAGAGACAGAUUGAAUUGACAAAGAACCGCUUGGAAAAGAAAAAGAAAGAAGUCACGGAGGAGCAAAUGGGAGGUUUCAAUACCCUAAGCAAUAAAUAUAACAGCCUGAGAGAGGAAUACAAUGCAAUGCUAGCUGAGAAAUUAAGGGAAUCAAAGUAGUAAAUCUCAAAUUAUUAAGCCUAGCUAUAAACAUUAUUAGUUUCGGAUAUAUUUAAUCAAAUAUAUGAAUAUAAAUUAAAGUUAACUAUUGUUUCUCCAUCUUGCUUGUAUUUUCUGUUUCAAGAAAUGAGACUAAGAGGGAUGAUUCCCCUUGACAUGAAAACAUAA